UUUAUAUAGUUUGUGGUCCGCAGCAGGUCAGUGAAAAGAUCGUAUUGAUUGGCCAUGCCACGGAGACCACUCACCAGCUGCAAACAAAUAGCCAAGCAAGAAAAGCAAAGUUAGAAAUCACACAUCAGAAUGACAAUCAAAAAGCACAAAAGCAGUUUACCGUUUCCACCAUCUCGAACAUCUGGGCUGAAGGCAUGACAGUGGGCAAGCCG
rnacentral:lncRNA from 1 species